UGCACUCACUACUGUAAGUCGCUCUGGAUAAGAGCGUCUGCUAAAUUACUUAAA
rfam:Salmo salar isolate Sally breed double haploid chromosome ssa20, whole genome shotgun sequence.